UGGGAACGCGAAGAACCUUACCAAGGCUUGACAUCCCUCUGAAGUAUAUAGAGAUAUAUACGGCUUUUAGGAGACAGAGGAGACAGGUGGUGCAUGGUUGUCGUCAGCUCGUGUCGUGAGAUGUUGGGUUAAGUCCCGCAACGAGCGCAACCCCUAUUGUUAGUUGCUACGCAAGAGCACUCUAGCGAGACUGCCGUUGACAAAACGGAGGAAGGUGGGGACGACGUCAAAUCAUCAUGCCCCUUAUGUCCUGGGCCACACACGUAAUACAAUGGCGUUAAACAGAGGGAUGCGAAGCCGUGAGGUGGAGCGAACCCCUAAAAGGCGUCUCAGUUCGGAUCGCAGGCUGCAACCCGCCUGCGUGAAGUCGGAAUCGCUAGUAAUUGCGAAUCAGAAUGCCGCGGUGAAUACGUUCCCGGGUCUUGUACACACCG
rnacentral:rRNA from 1 species